GAUGAAGAACGUAGCGAAAUGCGAUAACUAAUGUGAAUUGCAGAAUUCCGUGAAUCAUCGAGUCUUUGAACGCACAUUGCGCCCCCUGGUAUUCCGGGGGGCAUGCCUGUCCGAGCGUCAUUGCUGCCCAUCAAGCACGGCUUGUGUGUUGGGUCCUCGUCCCCCCCGGGGGAUGUGCCCGAAAGGCAGCGGCGGCACCGCGUCCGGUCCUCGAGCGUAUGGGGCUUUGUCACCCGCUCUGCAGGCCCGGCCGGCGCUGGCCGACGCGAAAGCAACCAUUUUUUCUCCAGGUUGACCUCGGAUCAGGUAGGGAUACCCGCUGAACUUAAGCAUAUCAAUAAGCGGAGGA
rnacentral:misc_RNA from 1 species